GGAUUAUAUAUCUUAAAAUUAACAAAAUAAAAUUUAAAACUAUAUUAUAACAUUUAAUUAUAAUUAAAUCAUAAUGUGGAGAGGUUCUUAAGUUAUGGGAUUUAUGUCUUAUAGGGUAUAAUUAAUUAAUUAGGUUAUCAUAUAAUUGGAAUUAGGGUUUAAAUCUAAAUUAAAAAAAAAUAGUAAUUAAUAGCAAUUUCUUACUCAUGGCACGACUGAAAGCUAUAUUUUAAGAACUUGUUAUAAUUAACAGCUAUGAAAAUUAAGAAAGAAAAGGUUCUUACAUCUGGCUUCAUCAAAUGUGUACCAAAUUCCUACAGCAUUAAUAGAGAUAGAGAUUAGUGUGCGGAAAUCAAAAACUUAUAACUAGUCAAUUGAUUAUAGUCCGCUACGAUACGCUUACAAGAAUACAUGUUUCUAUGGUCUCCAUCAAUCAUACUGUGUAACAUUUCGAAAAUCCAACUGCAGAUUAAUGAAAUUUCUAUGAUUUAAUACUGUUAAAUGUAUUAUCUUCAGGAUAAAUUAAAUUUUUUUUCCAAUUAAUAGUGACACUAGAAACUAAUUGCCUUAACACUAUACUUGGAGGAAAUUUUUGAAAGUGUAGUAUAAGUUUUAAAAUUCAUCAUCUUUUGUUAAAAAGUAUGGGUUUUUAAAAUAGUAAGUUUGUUUGGGAGUAAGGCUUUUCAAGGAAUGUAAUGUUCUUAGGGAUUUAAAAACUUUCAAAAACCCUAUUUUUUUAACUCACCAAAUUAAUUAAUUCGGGAGGUUUUGUAAUCUUAACUUCUAUUAUCUUAUUUUACCAUAUUUAAAAAACCUCUAUACACUCUAUCCAAACAUAUUUUAAGGUCUUGCCAUCUUUACAAUAGAAUAUAUUUAUUUUCAGUGACUUAUCAAUGUAGUUAUAAAUUUUAAAUAUUAUAGAGCCAGUGGAUAUGAGGGUUAGCAAUUAUAAAAGUAAUUAUUAGAAAAUUUGUGUUACUAGGCUCCCCUUUAAAACUCAAACUCAGUGAGACUAAAGAGAAGAAGUUAAUAGAUUACAAAUAGGCUCAAAAUAAUAAUUGAUGAAAUCGGUACUCAUGGGAAAAGUGAUCCUUAAUAAAAUAUGCACCCAAGGAUCUAAAUAGAGAAAUUCCUCUGCAAGGGAGGCUUAAUGAGGACACAUGUCACUACAUCCACCAUGCAUUUUUGAAAGACAAAAGAGAAGAAAAUAAGAUAGGGGAGCCGGCCACUUAGGACACUCCCUCUCUAUCAUUUUUUACUCUCUUUUCACCUUAAUUUUCCAUCUCUUCCAAACCCAAUCUCUCCCACAAGGAGAACUCUGGCUCUCCAAAACUCACCUCCAAGCCUCAUUUUCUUUUCUUCAACCAUGUUUUCACAACCUCAAUCUCCCUCUUUCUCACAUCCAAAAACAUAAAGAAUCUAGAAGAUUAAGGAAUCAAGCAGGUAAAAGGAAAUGGGAGGGGGGAAGGGAUUCGACUAGGUAAGGAAGCGCCGCCCCAAAGCUCUUAUCCUCAUCUUUCCACUUCUUCUUCUUCCUCAUGGGUUGCAUUUUCAUGGAGCAGUGCAUUGACAUAAUGAUGUGCUGCAUUUUUAUAGUAAAUUUGGUGUUAUUUUCAUUAUAUUUCUGUAGUGUUUUUGUUGAUAUCUAUUGCUAAAUUAAGUCUUAAUUGUGUUUCUUAUGUUUUCACUUUGAUUUUUAGUGUUUGAUGGUUUUAGGUGCUAAAGACAUUCAUUUUUGGAAUUUAAGUGAUAAUUGUGUCAUUUUGGCAAAACAAUUUAGACAGUUGAGUGCAAGGCUGUGGAAAGUGACUUACGUUUAUGCAUAGGCCGUGUGGAAUUGAAAUAACUUAGAAAAAUUGAAGUUUUCAAGUGAGGCAGCGAACUGCAUAGCUUGGCUAUGCAAACCGAGAAAAGUGCAUGGCUUGGCUGUGCAAAAAACAAAGAGUAGAAGUGGAGAAGGAAAAAGGCAGUAGAUCAUACUAAAGCAUCAUGAGAACAGAAAUGGAGAUCGGGACGAGAUGAGAGAAAGACUAGAAGCUUUUGGGAUUUGGAUUUGGUUAAACAAUAAGGAGGAGGGACAAUGAAGGGAGGGAAGGACCGAGGGAGAUGAGAGAAAGAGAGAAGUUUUGGAGCAAUUGGUAUCUUCUAUGGGGUUUAGCAGUCUACAUUUGUUUACGAAAAGAGAAAGAAUGGUCUACCUUUUUUGUUGUGGACAUGUUAACUUCAAAUAAAGAAAAUUAAAAAAGAAAAAGAGAUUUAUCUGUCCUCGUCUCAUUCCUUUACUACUCAGGAAAAUAGAAUGGUUUUCACUGUUCUUACCAUACUCACGUAGAUGAAAGAGAAAAUAAAGUCUCUGUAAAAUAAUAAUAAUGGAUCUCUUGAGUUAAAAAGAGGUGAUGUUAUCAAUAAAAAAAUAAUAAUAAUAAACA
rnacentral:misc_RNA from 1 species